rnacentral:rRNA from 1 species
UGCCAGCCGCCGCGGUAAUACGGAAGGUGCGAGCGUUAAUCGGAAUUACUGGGCGUAAAGCGCACGUAGGUGGCUUGGUAAGUCGGAUGUGAAAGCCCUGGGCUCAACCUGGGAUGGUCAUUUAGAACUGGCAGACUAGAGUCUUGGAGAGGGGAGUGGAAUUCCAGGCGUAGCGGUGAAAUGCGUAGAUAUCUGGAGGAACAUCAGUGGCGAAGGCGGCUCCCUGGCCAAAGACUGACGCUCAUGUGCGAAAGUGUGGGUAGCGAACAGGAUUAGAUA